CCGUGAGGGGCCGGGCUCGGGCGGCGCUGCCCUCACAAAUCAUUCGUGACUGCCGCGUCGGAAAUCGUGGCUGCAGCGUCCCGGAUGAGCCCUACAUCCAGGUAUCCCUUGUGAAACAGCUCUUCCUGCUCCUCCAUCAUCAUCACACCUGUCCUGCACUGUGCCCUGCUGUCCUGUGCAGUGUUUCACUGCCAGGGAACUGCCUGCACUUCACAGCAGGAUGUCACCCGUUCAUGGUGGAGCUGCAGGUUCCUGUCCUGGGGCUAGAUGAGAGACUGCUUUUCAGUUUACUCUUCAUUGUUUGGACCACAUAAUCCACCACAGUUGAAGCCACAACUCUUCUUGCUUUAAAUUCCCCCUGAUGUUGAGCUGAUUCUGCCCUUUUCUGGGUUUGUGCUGCCUGUCCCACCUGUGGUGUGAAGGGAAAACUGCUUUAUCAACAAGAAUAAUGUCUUAAACUGGCACCAUCCAGAUAAAAC